AGCUAAGGUCAACCAUGUGAUCACCCUCGCGCCCGACGCAGAGUAGCUGUAAUAAAUGCUCGGGAAGUUAUAGAGAGAAAGGAUACGAUCCCAGUGAUUAAUGCCAAAGCCCUGUUGCCUGUGGAGAGGGUGAUGCUUGACUUUCUUGUACAGCUGCAGUUUGUGUGGUGAAGGUGCUCCCACAAUGUGGUUGGGAUACUACAGGUGGACAUUCAGAUGGUAAUCUCAGUCAUUGUAACACCAAACUCUGAUUGAAUUAGUUAAUUCAUCAGGACCUGGAUAUUCGCAUUGUGUCAGGGUCAUCAGGAUCGGAAUACCAUUGACAUUUAACUGGGGAAGGAAAAAGGGUGCUAGAUGAUGAAGAUUUGCAGACUGAAAUCUCAAAAUCAUGUGCAGAUUGUGAUUAAGUUAACCAGCAUUUGAAGAACCAAAGAUAGAGAAUCACUCGGCCAAAAUCCUGCAACACUCUCCCUCCCAGCAUUGUUGGUCUAUCUGCACCAAAUGGACUGUGAAUGGUUCAAGACAGCAGCUCACUCCCAUCUUCUCAAGGGUAACUAGAGAUGGGGAAUAAAUGCUGGCUGAGCCAGUGAUGCCCAUAUCCUGGAAAUGGGUUCUAUCUCUAGUUGCUGAACCCCAGCUGAUGUUACUGCAGGAUGGUGAGGGAUGCUGAGUGCAUCCUCCAGGAGGCAGCACCAUCACAUUACCCCUGCCUACACCCACACAGUAACACCGCAACGUCACUAGAACAAAAGGCAGUGAAACCAAAGGAGGACUUAGAUAUAGUUCUUUGAGGUAAAGGGGAUUGGAACACAGCAGGAACAGGAGACUGAGCUGGAUGGUCAGCUGUUUCCCAUUGAGUGGUGAAGCAGGAUUGAAAGGCUGAAUGGUCUCCUCCUGCUGCUAUCUCCCAGGUAUGUAUAUAGUCAUGGAGCCCAGGUAGGAAGGAGUGGGCAGGGAUUCUCCAGGAGAUUGCACUUCCACAACAGUGGAGGGAUGGUUUGAUCGAUUUUAUUUAACAUUUAUCUUUAACACUAGAUUUGUAAAUUUUGGCUUAAAAAUGUUGUACAAGUUUUUUUGCACAGCAAAUAAAAUUAAAGAAAAUAAA